AUUGAACGCUGGCGGCAGGCCUAACACAUGCAAGUCGAACGAGUGGCGGACGGGUGAGUAAUGUCUGGGAAACUGCCUGAUGGAGGGGGAUAACUACUGGAAACGGUAGCUAAUACCGCAUACCAUCGGAUGUGCCCAGAUGGGAUUAGCUAGUAGGUGGGGUAAAGGCUCACCUAGGCGACGAUCCCUAGCUGGUCUGAGAGAAGGACGGGCAAAACGGGAAUUGGAACACGUCCCAGACUCCUAGGGAAGGAACCGGUGGGGAAUAUCCGACAAUGGGGGAAGGCCGGAUGCAGCCAUGCGGCGGGUAUGAAGCAGGCCUUGGGGUUGAAAAGUACUUUCAGCGGGGAGGCGUUACCCGCAUAAGAAGCAACGGCUAACUCCGUGCCAGCAGCCGCGGUAAUUC
rnacentral:rRNA from 1 species